GACGAACGCUGGCGGCGUGCUUAACACAUGCAGGUCGAGCGGUAAGGCCCUUUCGGGGGUACACGAGCGGCGAACGGGUGAGUAACACGUGGGUGACCUGCCCUCAGCUCUGGGAUAAGCCUGGGAAACCGGGUCUAAUACUGGAUAUGACUCCAUGACGCAUGUUGUGGGGUGGAAAGCCUUGUGCGGCUGAGGAUGGGCCCGCGGCCUAUCAGCUUGUUGGUGGGGUGANGGCCUACCAAGGCGACGACGGGUAGCCGGCCUGAGAGGGCGACCGGCCACACUGGGACUGAGACACGGCCCAGACUCCUACGGGAGGCAGCAGUGGGGAAUCUUGCGCAAUGGGCGAAAGCCUGACGCAGCGACGCCGCGUGAGGGAUGACGGCCUCGGUGUAACUACUU
rnacentral:rRNA from 1 species